GAUUUUAUGCUUGCAUAAAUGAUUUUUGGAUUCGGAGCGAGUGGCGAACUGGUGAGUAACACGUGGGUAACCUGCCCCGAAGCGGGGGAUAACAUUUGGAAACAAGUGCUAAUACCGCAUAAUUAGUUGGAACCGCAUGGUUCCAACUUGAAAGAUGGCUCUGCUAUCACUUUGGGAUGGACCCGCGCCGUAUUAGUUAGUUGGUGAGAUAAAAGCCCACCAAGACGAUGAUACGUAGCCGACCUGAGAGGGUAAUCGGCCACAUUGGGACUGAGACACGGCCCAGACUCCUACGGGAGGCAGCAGUAGGGAAUCUUCCACAAUGGACGAAAGUCUGAUGGAGCAACGCCGCGUGAGUGAUGAAGGUUUUCGGAUCGUAAAACUCUGUUGUUAAAGAAGAACAAGUGUUAGAGUAACUGUUAACACUUUGACGGUAUUUAACCAGAAAGCCACGGCUAACUACGUGCCAGCAGCCGCGGUAAUACGUAGGUGGCAAGCGUUGUCCGGAUUUAUUGGGCGUAAAGCGAGCGCAGGCGGUUUUGUAAGUCUGCUGUGAAAGCCCUCAGCUCAACUGAGGAAGUGCAGUGGAAACUACAAAACUUGAGUACAGAAGAGGAAAGUGGAACUCCAUGUGUAGCGGUGAAAUGCGUAGAUAUAUGGAAGAACACCAGUGGCGAAGGCGGCUUUCUGGUCUGUUACUGACGCUGAGGCUCGAAAGCAUGGGUAGCGAACAGGAUUAGAUACCCUGGUAGUCCAUGCCGUAAACGAUGAAUACUAGGUGUUUGGAAGGGUUUCCGCCCUUCAGUGCCGCAGCUAACGCAUUAAGUAUUCCGCCUGGGGAGUACGACCGCAAGGUUGAAACUCAAAGGAAUUGACGGGGGCCCGCACAAGUGGUGGAGCAUGUGGUUUAAUUCGAUGCUACGCGAAGAACCUUACCAGCUCUUGACAUCUUCUGCCAACCCAAGAGAUUGGGCGUUCCCUUCGGGGACAGAAUGACAGGUGGUGCAUGGUUGUCGUCAGCUCGUGUCGUGAGAUGUUGGGUUAAGUCCCGCAACGAGCGCAACCCUUAUUAUUAGUUGCCAGCAUUUAGUUGGGCACUCUAGUGAGACUGCCGGUGAUAAACCGGAGGAAGGUGGGGACGACGUCAAAUCAUCAUGCCCCUUAUGAGCUGGGCUACACACGUGCUACAAUGGAUGGUACAACGAGUCGCGAAACCGCGAGGUCAAGCUAAUCUCUUAAAGCCAUUCUCAGUUCGGAUUGCAGGCUGCAACUCGCCUGCAUGAAGUUGGAAUCACUAGUAAUCGUGGAUCAGCAUGCCACGGUGAAUACGUUCCCGGGCCUUGUACACACCGCCCGUCACACCAUGAGAGUUUGUAACACCCAAAGACG
rnacentral:rRNA from 1 species